rnacentral:rRNA from 1 species
GUGGGGAAUCUUCCGCAAUGGACGAAAGUCUGACGGAGCAACGCCGCGUGAGUGAAGAAGGUUUUCGGAUCGUAAAGCUCUUUCGUUAGGGACGAACGUGCUCUUUGUGAAUAAUGAGGAGUAAUGACGGUACCUAAAUAAGAAGCCACGGCUAACUACGUGCCAGCAGCCGCGGUAAUACGUAGGUGGCAAGCGUUGUCCGGAAUUAUUGGGCGUAAAGCGCGCGCAGGCGGGAUAUCAAGUCUGUCUUAAAAGUGCGAGGCUCAACCUCGUGAGGGGACAGAAACUGGUAUUCUUGAGUGUCGGAGAGGAAAGUGGAAUUCCAAGUGUAGCGGUGAAAUGCGUAGAGAUUUGGAAGAACACCAGUGGCGAAGGCGACUUUCUGGACGAUGUCUGACGCUGAGGCGCGAAAGCUAGGGGAGCGAACGGGAUUAGAAACCCGUGUAGUCC